GAAUGCAGUGACUGAGACCGUGAGGGUCUCCGCCCACCCGGCCAGUCAUCAUCGUGUUUGUAAGUGCGUUACCAACACCUCUCUCUCCCUGGCUGCAGCUGAAGUGUGGCGGUCAGAAAGCCUCACGCUGUUGCUCAACGUUCGACAAGCACAUAGUAACGCACAACGUUCCGUCCCCAGUAACGGUAACGGCGUUGCAACGGCGGGAAAAGUAAUUAAUUAGAUUAUUCCGUUACCUAUAAAAGAACGCCGUUAGAAACGCCGUUAUACUUAAACGGCGUUACUCCCAACAUUGUUUAUUUGAUCGUUUCAUCAGUUGGGGUUUCAGUGAUUAGUUGCUCUCUGCUGCCCCCCUGUGGCAAAAUAUGGAGGUGGAUCAUCCCAAACGAGGAAAGAGGAGGAUAAGGGACAGAGGACAGGGAAAACACAAACAUCACAAGAAAGGAGAAGUUCAAGACGUUAAUACCUGUCAGAGGCUCCAUGCAACAUGCAAGCAACCAGAGGAGGCAACAGACAGGAGGAGUGAGAUGUUAGUGGAUGUUAGUAAAGAGAAAUGGAGCACAGUCUGAUUUAUAUGACACUAUAGUUUAAAAGUGUGACGGUACCUCUUCAGCUGACGUCUCAUCUCUUACAACAAUCACUCGGUGAGGUGGAGGAGGCGGCGAGUCGAACAGGCCUGUUGAAGAUCAGCUGGUUUAGGAACUCACAAAAGCAAGAAGAGAUAAAUGCUGUUCGACGUGCACAGACAAGUCCUGAUCAUGGCUCCUGGAAUCAUAACGCUCUCUGGUCCAUCAGGCACAACGGAAGCAAUAAAGAUCCCAAGGUCAAGUUUUCCUGUAUUGUCCUCCCCCACGAUCACAAACCCUGCAACACCACCAGAGGAUGAGAAAGCAGGAAUCUCCUGAGUGGAGUGAAGGAACAAGAGGCUCUGAAAUGAACACACCGAAACCCAGUUUGGGAUCUUUCUUCAGAGUCACACAGACAAUUUCUCUCUCUGGAGGGGUUCUUGUUGGAGUGCCAACUAGAAAAAUACAAAAUCCAGAGUUAAAACAUCAUAAGACAGACACAGACAGCCAAAUCAUACAACCUGAAGCAGUUCCCAGAUGAACAAAUUAUAUCUUUUAUCUUGACAUAAAAAUCUAACAGCACUUGAUUUAAAAAUAAUCAGCCGUCACAUUUUGUUAUUUUCCA